UACGUAGGGUGCAAGCGUUGUCCGGAAUUAUUGGGCGUAAAGAGUUCGUAGGCGGUUUGUCGCGUCCGUUGUGAAAGCUUGGGGCUCAACCCCCAAGUCUGCAGUGGAUACGGGCAGACUAGAGUCAGGUAGGGGAGAACGGAAUUCCUGGUGUAGCGGUGAAAUGACGUAGAUAUCCGGAGGAACACCGGUGGCGAAGGCGGCUUCCUGGACCGACACUGACGCUGAGGCGCGAAAGCUAGGGGAGCAAACGGG
rnacentral:rRNA from 1 species